GACUUUUCGUUGAUAUGUCGUCGGAUUUAGACUGGAUGUUUGAUUUACUGUAAUGGUUGACGAGGUUUGGUAUUUGUGGCUUGCUGAGCGUAAUUCCGGGUCUCUAUGAAGAUGGUUAUGGUUUCAUCCGAGAGACCCGCAAGCUUUAUGAAGAUUAUUAGACACUCAUCCUACAGUUUGGCCACUACAUGUCUAUAACAACUAUGAUGGUGUUUGUCAUAAGGCAUGGCAAUUUUGUUGUAACCAUGGUAGAAUUCUGAGUUGUUACCCUCAGAAUGGUAUUGGGUUUUGCUUUGUCAAUGAGGCUGUGAUGAUGUUCAUUAUUUUGAACCUAUGGUUUCCUCUUAUAAACCACAAUGAAUUGUAUAUUGUUGAUUAGUAAGUUUGGGAUGCAUUAGGGUGUUGUACAUUGUGUUGUUUGGUAUUUUGGUGGUUAAUAGUGCUAUACUUUGGUAUUGUUUUAUUGCGCAUUAUUUGGGUAUAUACGCUUUGCUUUGUGAACAGACCUGUGAUUCUUAGGUUCGUUAUUU
rnacentral:lncRNA from 1 species